GACGAACGCUGGCGGCGUGCCUAAUACAUGCAAGUAGAACGCACAGUUUAUACCGUAGCUUGCUACACCAUAAACUGUGAGUUGCGAACGGGUGAGUAACGCGUAGGUAACCUGCCUGGUAGCGGGGGAUAACUAUUGGAAACGAUAGCUAAUACCGCAUAAUAUUAAUUAUUGCAUGAUAAUUGAUUGAAAGAUGCAAUUGCAUCACUACCAGAUGGACCUGCGUUGUAUUAGCUAGUAGGUGAGGUAACGGCUCACCUAGGCGACGAUACAUAGCCGACCUGAGAGGGUGAGCGGCCAGACUGGGACGGAGACACGGCCCAGACUGCUACGGGAGGCAGCAGGAGGGAAUCGUCGGCAAUGGACGAAAGUCUGACCGAGCAACGCCGCGUGAGUGAAGAAGGUUUUCGGAUCGUAAAGCUCGGUUGUAAGAGAAGAACGGGUGUGAGAGUGGAAAGUUCACACUGUGACGGUAUCUUACCAGAAAGGGACGGCUAACUACGUG
rnacentral:rRNA from 1 species